rnacentral:misc_RNA from 1 species
AUUUUAAUAAAUUUCAAAUUUUAUGGGGAGGGUUUUGGACACUUCGAUUUCCCCUCUGCCAGAUCUGCACAUAUGCGCUUGCAGGUUUUCAAGUUGUAAAUAUUGACAAUAUUAAACAGCUUUGAUAUUUUUUCUGCAAGAUUGGGUUUUAUGUACUUGUCCAGCAUGUAAAAAAAUACCCACGAAAUUCAACUUCAAUAAUUGUGUUAAUGAAGUAAAAAAUGGUUUUAAUUUUCUUUUAAACGUUUGAUCUGUAGAAAUAUGAAUAAUUUAUUAAAAAUAUAUUCCCGUAUUUUUAUGUAUGUACAUGUAGUAUGUACGGUAAAACAGAAAACUUUUAAAAAGUAAGUUAAAAUGAUAAUUAAUAAAUCAUUCUCGUUU